rnacentral:sRNA from 1 species
AAAAGCUUUUCUUCCCAACACACACAAAAAAAAAAACUGUAACGACCAAAAAAAAAGAGGACGCGUUAGAAGAAAAAAA